CCCUCUCUUAUUAUACUCUAGCUUCUCUAGGCCUAUCUGAACUCUUUCCAUCCCUACACUCAUCAUCAUGCAUUCACACAUGCAAAUCAGCCAACUCUCAAGUUCAUUAAGCAUAGCAUCAAGUGAAUUUUUGCAAUCAGCCAACUCUCAAGUUCAUUAAGCAUAGCAUCAAGUGAAUUUUUGCAAAUGGUCAAUUGGUCCAAGUCAUUUGGUUGGGUAAGGGAAGGCUUUUAUUCAAGUGAGUCAAGAGGUUCAAAAUAUAUGAUUUUAAAGGUGGUUCACUCUCAAAACAAGUAGCCUUGACAUUGAACAUAAUAUAUCUAAGAAAGGGAUCAACUCAUGCAUACAAUGCUCAAUCUCCAUUGUUCUACCAUUUUCCCAAACAUACAAUUACACAAUCAUUCCCAAAUGUCAAAUCCAACUCACAUCUCUCACCAAAAGAUCCUAAGAACAUUAACUGCUUCUCUUUGAAAUCUACAAGGGAUUUUUCACAACCUCAAAACAUUACUUAGCUCCUAACAACUUUGCUAGCCCCCUUUUUCUUUCUUUUUCUUUUCUUUUAAUUUUUUUUUUUUUUUCUUUUUUUUUUUUUUAGAUGGGGGCCAAGACUUUUCAUAACUUGAGCUAGAGGUUUUUCUACUUAUCCCAAUAAGACAAUUCACUUAAACACAAAGAGUCAUUUAUUUUUCUUUUUCAUUGCUCCCAAAUCAUAAUCACAACUCUCACCCCCCCACCUAUAGCUAGACAAUAGAGUGCCCAAUCUAGCAAGAAUGAAGAUCAAGCAUUGUCGUUCCCGAUACUCUCAACAUUAUGCACAUGUAAGACUUUCCGAAGAAGGCCUCACUCAUCAAACAAUGAAAGCUUAAAAGGAGGGAAAGGUUUUGGGAGUGGUCUACCACUAGAGUUUGUCAGAAUAAGAUUUGCAUAAAGGAUGUGACAACUCAGGUGUGUAUAGCCAUGACUCAGUACACAAGGGACCAUGAGUAAGAAGCAUUAAGUUCGUUUAGUUCAAAUAAGGUUGUAGUUGGCUUCAAAGACUGAGUUUCAGCAAUCAACAAGUUUCAGGAAGAGUUUUCAAGGCUCGAAACAUACAAGUCUUUUUGAGUGGUGCAAAAGCUACUCAGGUGCAACGUAGUGUUCUUUACAAGGAAUUUAAAAUCAUUGCUCCCAAUGCAAGUAAAUGCAACCUAUAUGCUCUAGACUCUUCUAGAAAUGCCAAAGAUGCAAACUAAAUGAAUUUUUUUUUUUUUUAUGCAAAUAUAUAUGUAUAAUGCAAUGCAUGAGACUCAAAUCAUCAAAGCAAACGGGAUCAAAUACUUGGUACCUCCCCCAAACUUAAAUAACACAGUCUCUGUGUUGUCAAGGAGAGAGAGAUACCCAAAAAGAGAAAACUAAUAUGCAAAAACGAAAUGGUAUAUACAAGGGAAAGUAGUGGGUUACCUUCUAUGGAGAAUGAGUAGAGGGAGAUGCUCCCUCCUCGUCGUCCUCAGGUGGUAACUCUUAAACGUGCUCAUCAGUAAGAGUGCCCAUCUCUUCAAUGUAGAAGGCUUGCCCGAACACAGUUGGUUUCUUCAUUUUCUCCUUGAUGUCAAAGUGGAGAACAUGCCCUUUACCCAAAUGGAGAUCAAUCGUGCCCGCUUUCACCUUAACAAUUGCUCCUGCUGUAGCUAAGAAUGGCCUUCCAAGAAUCAAUGGGUCCUGAGCCUCCUCACCCAUCUCAAGCACCACAAAAUCUGUAGGUAUCUCAUACCUUCCAAUCUUCACAGGUAGGUCUUCUAAGAUGCCCACAGGGUACUUCACUGAACGAUCAGCUAACACCAGAGAGAGUCCACACUUCUUGUACUGAGUGAAUCCCAGCUUCUUUGCAACAGACAAAGGCAUCACGCUGACACUAGCUCCCAAAUCGCAGAGACAUUUCUCAAAUACCAUAGGUCCAAGAGCACAAGGUAGUGUGAAGCAUCCUGGAUCCUCUAACUUCUCUGGAACAUCAAGCCUUUGGAUGAUGGAACUGCACUCAUGGGUAAGAAUCAUCAUGCUUUCCAUUUCCUUCUUCUUUGCAGCUACAACAUCUUUCAGGAACUUGUUGUAUUGAGGAAUCAACAUGAAAGCAUCGAUGAUGGGCAUUGCAACCUGAGCUUCACUCAUUUGCUUGUCAAACAAAGCCUUGAACUUCUCUAGCAGCUGCCUCUUGAAUCUACCAGGGAAUGGUAGUUUGGGUUCAUAGGGAGGAGGAACAAAAGAGUUCUCACUUGCUGGAGCAAGAACUUCACCAUCUUUCACUGUUUUCUUCGCUUCCCCAACCUUUCCUUUACCCUUGGCUUCCACAAUCUUCUCCAAGAUUUCAUCAUUGAUUUUCUCAUCAACAAUCACCACUUCAUCAUCUAAGUUGAUGGCCACCUCUUCACCUAGUUUCUCAGCAUCACUGGUGAGGGUUGUAGGAGGUAACUGCUUACCACUCCUAAGGGUGAUAGCUUUGGCCUCCUUGGGGUUUUGGUCAGAUUUUCCAGGAAGAGAUCCUUGCUGGCGAGUCUGGUGAGUGUUCAUGGAAGCAAACUGAUUCUCUAAAUUCUUGACUGUAGAAGCAAGAUGUGAGAACUUGUUGUUGAGCUCAUUGUAGCUUCCAUCAAUCUUGGAAUGAAGGUUUUUCAACUCAUAUCCAACAUGCUUCUCACUUCUAGUCUGAGACUCCAAGAUUUGUUUCAGCAGGGUGUCAGUGCUGCUCUCUUGAGGAGCAGAGGAACCAGAUGAGGGGUUUUGAUGAGGUUGAUAGCUGCCUUGCUGGUUGUUUCGAGGCGGAUAACCACUCUGUUGGUUGUUGGGGUAGGAUUUCUGUUGGUAGUUGUUGUACUGAAAGUUGGGCUCUUUUUUGUACCAGCUACCAUUGUUGUUGAUGAAACACAGGUCUUUCUGACCUUCCAAGCCCUCAACCUCAUGGACAACAGGUGGUGUAUCUUGGCUUGGGUUACCAACAAAGUGCAGCUGCUCUUGUGUGGCUUUAUCGGCAAGGAGGAUGUCUAUCUUAUCCUGUAGAGCUUUCAACUCCUUCCUCGUCUGCUUAUCAUCUGUUCGACUGCUUCUGUCGUGGUCUCCACUGUAGACUGCAUCACUCUUUACCAUGUUGUCAACCAGCUCCUCUGCAUCUUCCUCAGUUCUCCCCAAGAAGAACCCAUUGCUAGCUGUAUCCAGUCUGGCCCUGUACUUAGGAAGAGCACCACGGUAGAAUGUGCUCAGCAAGCUCUCCUUAGAGAAACCAUGGUGUGGGCAUUGAGCUUGGUAGCCCUUGAAUCUCUCCCAGGCUUCACUGAAUCCUUCCAAGUUCUUCUGUUGGAAACUGGAGAUCUCAUUUCUCAGCUUAGCAGUUCUUGAGGAUGAGAAGAAUUUCUCCAAGAAUGCUCUCUUGCACUCAUCCCAAGUGGUGAUAGAGUGGCUGGGUAGAGACUUCUCCCACUGACAUGCCUUAUCCCCCAAAGAGAAAGGGAAUAGCUUGAGCUUUAAGGCAUCUUCGGACACACCAUUGGUUUUUGACAACCCACAGUAGCUGUCGAACCUAUCCAAGUGAUCAAAUGGGUCCUCCAGAGCCAAGCCAUGAUACUUGUUGUUCUCGAUCACGUUGAGGAGUCCUGACUUGACCUAAAAGUUGUUGGCUGCCACAGCUGGUGCUCGGAUUCCGAAUCUGUGACCAUGUAUGUUGGGGCGGUCGUAAGUGCCAAUGGGUCGAGCUGUCCGCGGUUGGUGUUCUGCCCCUUGCGGUGGAUCUGCCAUAUCAAUAUCCAAGUGGGCCUGGUGUUCUUCUUCUCUUCUAGCUCUAGCACACUCCCUCUCAAAAGCUCUGAUGUCUGCUACUAUUGGAACUAGGUUUGAUUGACCCCUGCUCCUCAAGUUCAUACACCUGAAAGUGAAAGGUAGGUGAAGAAGAAGAAUCAGUAACAAAACAAAAUUAAAAUGACUUAGUCUCAAGCAAGUGACUAAAUCUCAAUGUUUAAAUCUACUCAGAAUUUGGCAACGGCGCCAAUUUGAUGUUAGGAGUUUUCAAGGCUCCUAAGACAAAUGUUGUAGUAUAGUGAUUGUCGAACCAGUUCUGAGGGAUAUCAAAGCACUGAGAAUGCAAGUACUCACUUAAUCUAAGUGCAACCAAUGAUUUAGAUGGGUUUUAAGCUCCCAAUUUGAUGUUAGGAGUUUUCAAGGCUCCUAAGACAAAUGUUGUAGUAUAGUGAUUGUCGAACCAGUUCUGAGGGAUAUCAAAGCACUGAGAAUGCAAGUACUCACUUAAUCUAAGUGCAACCAAUGAUUUAGAUGAGUUUUAAGCUAUGACUAAAACUAGAAAGUAAUAACAGAAUGAUACUUCUUGACUAAGGGAUGACUAAAACUAGAAAGCAAUAACAGAAUGAUACUUCUUGACUAAGGGAAAAGAGAACUCAUGGGCAUAGGGAUUAGACCUUGGGUGAUCAAGUAUCGAACUAAGGAUGGCAAAUGAUCAAUCAAACUAUCAACCUUAAGCCUAGACACAAUUCUAAGCAAGCUCUAUGUCUAGAUGAAUGCUCAUUUGCUAACAUAUCUCAAACAUCAAAUGUCUUUGGUUGAAUAAUAUGAAAGCAAUCAUUACGAACAAGUCUAUUAGCUAUCUUAGCAUUUUUAACAACAAAUGUCUUUGGCAAAGUAUACUAAAAGCCUAGGAGAGUUGUCUCAGGCAUUUCAUCAAACACCUUUUGGGUGGGAAAUGCCUAUUGAUCAACUUUUGAGUGGCCAACUCAGAAGAUGCAUUAUGAAUACCCUACUAGCAAGGAACAAGAAUGAUCUACACUAAAACAUCCUAGAACUAACCUAAUCACCCUUGAUCUCCCUAACCCAUGAAUUCAAAAGGUGAUUACUCACUAAUCUCCAUGAUUCCUCUUAAACCCAUAUUGGAUUUCAGAUUAAUCAUGUAGAGAAAUAGAUAAGAAAUAAACAAUAACACAAGAACAUAACAAUCAAAAUCCAAGAGAUGAACUUCUCAAGAGAGUUUUUGUGUAUUUCUUAAUAGAUCAAAAGAUAAUCUGCCUGGUGGUGGCUUCCAGAGUAAAAAACAUAGGUUUAGAAAAUAAAAACGUGCAUAAUGAAAUGACCAAAAAGGCCCUUGAGAAAACAUGAAUUCGGCCAAACAAAUAGACGUGGAGCGACCUCGGCACGUCGCUGCGAGAGGUCGCUCCCAGGUCGUUUCCUCGCGAGCGACCUGGCUGUGUCGCUCCGAAGACGUCGCUCCCGGCUUGCUCAGAAACCAUAGACGCGAGCGACCUUAGGGUGUCGCUCUAGGAGGUCGCUCCCGGCUUGUUCGUCGCUCUCAAAUCGACACAACCCGAGCGACCUCUGGGUGUCGCUGCGGUGAGGUCGCUCUAGGAGCUGGAGCGACUUCGCCUUGUCGCUCUAGGAGGUCGCUCCGAAGCGUAGAUGGCGAGCGAGUUCAUGGCGUCGCUCCGGUAGGUCGCUCCCAUGCAUUGCUCGUCCAAUGAUCACUCUAAUCACCUCUUAUCACCUCCCUUGAGCUCCAAAUGUACCCAAAUGUCUCCAGGAACUCCAUGUGGUACUCCAAUACCUAAUGGAGACAUAUGUAUGCAAAAUGCAACCUAGACAUGGCUUAAUCCUAAUCUAUAUGAUGAAAAUGCACAUGAAUAAAUGGAUAAAACAAUGUGAAUAUGCAAGAUAUCAACUCCCCCAAACUUAUUCUUUUACUUGUCCUCAAGUGAACUUUCUAGAACUCAUAGGGAGAGAGGUUUGAAGGUGGGAGCUCAUAGCCAAAAGAAACACACAAAGCACUCAAAUCAACAUUUAAAUUCAGCAUUAGUACACCCUCUCUUAUUAUACUCUAGCUUCUCUAGGCCUAUCUGAACUCUUUCCAUCCCUACACUCAUCAUCAUGCAUUCACACAUGCAAAUCAGCCAACUCUCAAGUUCAUUAAGCAUAGCAUCAAGUGAAUUUUUGCAAAUGGUCAAUUGGUCCAAGUCAUUUGGUUGGGUAAGGGAAGGCUUUUAUUCAAGUGAGUCAAGAGGUUCAAAAUAUAUGAUUUUAAAGGUGGUUCACUCUCAAAACAAGUAGCCUUGACAUUGCACAUAAUAUAUCUAAGAAAGGGAUCAACUCAUGCAUACAAUGCUCAAUCUCCAUUGUUAUACCCUUUUCCCAAACAUACAAUUACACAAUCAUUCCCAAAUGUCAAAUCCAACUCACAUCUCUCACCAAAAGAUCCUAAGAACAUUAACUCCUUCUCUUUGAAAUCUACAAGGGAUUUUUCACAACCUCAAAACAUUACUUAGCUCCUAACAACUUUGCUAGCCACCCUUUUUCUUUCUUUUUCUUUUCUUUUCAUUUUUUUUUUUUUUUUAGAUGGGGGCCAAGACUUUUCAUAACUUGAGCUAGAGGUUUUUCUACUUAUCCCAAUAAGACAAUUCACUUAAACACAAAGAGUCAUUUAUUUUCCUUUUUCAUUGCUCCCAAAUCAUAAUCACAACUCUCACCCCC
rnacentral:lncRNA from 1 species